rnacentral:rRNA from 1 species
CAGUCGCCACGGUAAUCCGUAGGUCCCGAGCGUUGUCCGGAUUUAUUGGGCGUAAAGCGAGCGCAGGCGGUUAGAUAAGUCUGAAGUUAAAGGCUGUGGCUUAACCAUAGUACGCUUUGGAAACUGUUUAACUUGAGUGCAGAAGGGGAGAGUGGAAUUCCAUGUGUAGCGGUGAAAUGCGUAGAUAUAUGGAGGAACACCGGUGGCGAAAGCGGCUCUCUGGUCUGUAACUGACGCUGAGGCUCGAAAGCGUGGGGAGCGAACAGGAUUAGAUACCCCCGUAGUCCUGUCUCUUAUACAC